rnacentral:rRNA from 1 species
AAACGACUCUCGGCAACGGAUAUCUCGGCUCACGCAUCGAUGAAGAACGUAGCAAAAUGCGAUACUUGGUGUGAAUUGCAGAAUCCCGUGAACCAUCGAGUUUUUGAACGCAAGUUGCGCCCGAAGCCAUUCGGUUGAGGGCACGCCUGCCUGGGCGUCACGC